rnacentral:rRNA from 1 species
GGCGAACGGGUGAGUAACACGUGGAUAACCUGCCUGUACAUCUGGGAUAAUCCUUCGAAAGGGGGCUUAAUACCGGAUAAUAUUCCGAGGCGGCAUCGCUUUGGAAUCAAAGACGGGGCAACCUAUCGUGAACAGAUGGAUCCGCGUCCCAUUAGCUUGUUGGCGGGGUAACGGCCCACCAAGGCUUCGAUGGGUAGCCGGCCUGAGAGGGUGAACGGCCACACUGGGACUGAGAUACGGCCCAGACUCCUACGGGAGGCAGCAGUAGGGAAUAUUGCGCAAUGGACGAAAGUCUGACGCAGCAACGCCGCGUGAGUGAUGAAGCAUUUCGGUGUGUAAAACUCUGUCAGUGGGGAAGAACAGCAUCAGGAGUAACUGCCUGGUGCCUGACGGUACCCGCAGAGGAAGUCCCGGCUAACUCCGUGCCAGCAGCCGCGGUAAUACGGGGGGGACGAGCGUUGUUCGGAUUUACUGGGCGUAAAGGGCGCGUA